AUUGAACGCUGGCGGCAUGCCUUACACAUGCAAGUCGAACGGUAACAGGUCUUCGGAUGCUGACGAAUGGCGAACGGGUGAGUAAUACAUCGGAACGUGCCUAGUAGUGGGGGAUAACUACUCGAAAGAGUGGCUAAUACCGCAUGAGAUCUACGGAUGAAAGCAGGGGAUCGCAAGACCUUGUGCUACUAGAGCAGCCGAUGGCAGAUUAGGUAGUUGGUGGGAUAAAAGCUUACCAAGCCGACGAUCUGUAGCUGGUCUGAGAGGACGAUCAGCCACACUGGGACUGAGACACGGCCCAGACUCCUACGGGAGGCAGCAGUGGGGAAUUUUGGACAAUGGGCGCAAGCCUGAUCCAGCAAUGCCGCGUGCAGGAUGAAGGCCUUCGGGUUGUAAACUGCUUUUGUACGGAACGAAAAGCCCUGGGUUAAUACCCUGGGGUCAUGACGGUACCGUAAGAAUAAGCACCGGCUAACUACGUGCCAGCCGCCGCAGUAACAC
rnacentral:rRNA from 1 species